AUGUUCUUCUUGAUCCCCCGGGGCAAAGGGAGGUGUCAGCGUCAGGAGCCAUCCUAACUGGGGCCCUGGCUCCCUGUUUUCCUUCGGUCGCCGUGGGUGUGCCGGACGCCUCUGGCAGGACUAACCCUGUGGCUUUUAUGUCCAACGUGCUGUGCUGUGUGUGCCUGCAGGUGGUUGGUGUUUCUGCAGUGUUUGGCACAGGACUGGGGGAGAUUUUUACCCAGCUUUCUAAAGCUGUAGAUGAAUAGGAGAGGUAAGGGGAUAACUUCUG